GCAAAUAUAGUUUAAUUAAAACAUUAGAUUGUGAAUCUAAAUUAGGAGUUUAAACCCCCUUAUAUGCC
rnacentral:tRNA from 1 species